rnacentral:scRNA from 1 species
AUCGCUGUGCAUGCUGUCGAAUUCGGCGUGGGUGA